rnacentral:rRNA from 1 species
GAUGAACGCUGGCGGCGUGCCUAAUACAUGCAAGUCGAGCGAAUGGAUUAAGAGCUUGCUCUUAUGAAGUUAGCGGCGGACGGGUGAGUAACACGUGGGUAACCUGCCCAUAAGACUGGGAUAACUCCGGGAAACCGGGGCUAAUACCGGAUAACAUUUUGAACCGCAUGGUUCGAAAUUGAAAGGCGGCUUCGGCUGUCACUUAUGGAUGGACCCGCGUCGCAUUAGCUAGUUGGUGAGGUAACGGCUCACCAAGGCAACGAUGCGUAGCCGACCUGAGAGGGUGAUCGGCCACACUGGGACUGGGACCGGGCCCAGACUCCUACGGGAGGCAGCAGUAGGGAAUCUUCCGCAAUGGACGAAAGUCUGACGGAGCAACGCCGCGUGAGUGAUGAAGGCUUUCGGGUCGUAAAACUCUGUUGUUAGGGAAGAACAAGUGCUAGUUGAAUAAGCUGGCACCUUGACGGUACCUAACCAGAAAGCCACGGCUAACUACGUGCCAGCCGCCGCCGUAA